GGUUUUGUUGGCAACAUCAGCGGUUCCGAGUGAUGUACAAGGCAAGGUGUUCAUUCAGAUUGUUACAAAGGAAAUUCUUAGAAAGUUGGUGUCUGCAGGCUAUUGAGGUUGGUUAGGAUUAAAUCAAAGGGCUUCUAGUUUGAGGCAGUGGUGAUUCAGGUUCCGCAGGAGCUUCAAGUUAGCUUUGACAUCAGCUUGAAAUUCUGGAGAAAAAGAAUCAGUAAAUUUGUAGUCACGAUCUUAUGACUAUUUUAAGGUGUGACGAACCAAGGAUGAUGCUGAAAGAUAGACAUUAUCAAGGAAGAAGCAGGUGGCGUUAGUUUGUGGUAGUCAAUGACAACGUCAGAGACAGAAGAAGAAAUGUUCACAGAGGAUUAUCUCAAUGCACGUGAUGGUUUUAGGUUGGUGAAAUCAUGAUGAGAGACUU
rnacentral:lncRNA from 1 species